GGGGAAAGAAUGUUGUGGCUGAAGAUAGAGAAAAAGUUAGAAAUUAAGACGGGUGGCUGUUGCUGCUACUCACUAGAGCUGUGACCUCAGGAAGUCAUCUAAUCUCAUCUGUAAAGAAGAAGGCAGUGAUUUCUAAGAAACAUGAAUGACCAAGGAAGAUUAUCAGAUCCUUUCUCCCUUGUGUUGCUUCCUUGAAACAUAUGUUGAAAAUUAUUAAUAAAAGGACACUCAUCAGUAAGUCAAAGGUGGAAUGUGCAUGUACCGAAAAGUGACAUAAAAUCAGUUGGGUUAGUUUUGUACAGUGUUUUCACUCUCCUGGAGCAACAAAACACUUAUAUAUGAGCUACUAAAUAUGAACUGUGUAAUUCUGGUGAUUUUAUCUAUCAGUUAAAUGCUUUGAUAUUUGCAUUUGAAACAAACAUUGCAGAAUGUAAAUAUAAAGAGUAAAAUUCAUAAUAAUUUCAAA